rnacentral:rRNA from 1 species
ACUCCUACGGGAGGCAGCAGUGAGGAAUAUUGGGCAAUGGACGAGAGUCUGACCCAGCCAUCCCGCGUGUAGGAAGACGGCCUUAUGGUUGUAAACUACUUUUAUACAGGAAGAAACGUACCCUCGUGAGGGUGCCUGACGGUACUGUAGGAAUAAGCACCGGCUAACUCCGUGCCAGCAGCCGCGGUAAUACGGAGGGGUGCGAGCGUUAUCCGGAUUUAUUGGGGUUUAAAGGGGUCCGUAGGCGGAUUAAUAAGUCAGUGGUGAAAUCCCAUCGCUUAACGAUGGAACUGCCAUUGAUACUGUUAGUCUUGAAUGAGGGUGCAGUGGUUGGAAUGUGUAGUGUAGCGGUGAAAUGCAUAGAUAUUACACAGAACACCGAUUGCGAAGGCAGAUCACUAACCCUAAAUUGACGCUGAGGGACGAAAGCGUGGGGAGCGAACAGGAUUAGAUACCCUGGUAGGAUAGCG